UUGUUGUCACCAACUUCGUCUACUCUAUCCACUGCUCAUUACGCACCCUUUCUACAGACAACUCAAACUGCCAUGGCCAGUUUUUCAACCACUCCAAAUCUUGCUUGUUUUACGGCAUUCAUUGGACCCAAUUUCUGUUCAGACCUGCCGGAGUUCCACCGCGACCGUUUCCUAAGUGUGGAGCCACUCGAGUCUCUUGCCUUCCAAGGCACACAUGUACAGAUCAACCCUCUCAGUUCUCCAUUUCGUCUGCUGCCUUCAAUGGUGAACCGUCACGUAUGUCUCGCCCUCGGCGACUCAAAUUGUUUCGGUGCAGAAGACAUGGGAGUCAAGCCCUAAGCCUACUCCUCGGUUCAAUGUCCUCACGGGCACAGUUUCACGGAUUGAGUAUGCCGGAUAAUACGAUUAGCUGAAACAGACUGUGAUGGUCCGAAUAAGUGAAAGAUAUCCGACUUGGCCAGAGCUUUCGAGCACAAAAGACGGUUUACUAUGCGUUAUCCAAAUGGAGACCGCGUCGGUUUACCUAUGCUGGACGCUGCAUACCGGUCACAAACGGAUGGUUGCCAUAUGCCUCGGAUAUCAGUUCAGCGAGAAGAGAACGCGGGUGAAGCAUGUCGGGUACUUCGGUAUCAGAUGUCACCUUUAGGAGCAAUCACGGCAGCGCGACCAGAUGGCGAUUGAAUGCGACAUUUAAGUCUCGAAUACCCUAGGGCAUCAAAUUGAUUGGCUGAGAGAUUUCGCGCCUAGAACACAGCAGUAUCCUUACACACAGUCAUAGUCUCAGCAUAUCCAAAGGAUCCACUCGCCGGAAUCAACAUUCCUCUCCCUAAAAAUUGCCCAGGCAUUUUCACAGUUGAAGUUGUCGCGAGGUUCUUUGGUUAUGCUGCCCUAUGAUUCUUCAAUGUUGGUCUCAGGAGAACAUAGAAGAUUGCGAACUGUUGUCUCGUUCCGGAUGGCAAAAGAUUUCCCCCCAAGCGAUUUGGUGUUUUCGAACUUAUUCGCCUGUAUUCUCUCGUCAAUUCUGCUAGCACCAACUGUCUGCUCCUGCGCAUGUUUCCUAUUCCAGGAUCCCUGGGGAUCUUGCCCCUGCGUUCCAACUUUUUGGGUUCUGUUAUUCCUACGCCUCACAGGCGGCUAGGCACCUCGUGUCACGGCACCCGCCACCGACUCGACUUUGUCAGAAGAUCCCGGCCGACCGUGUUAACCAUCUCUUCGCAAAGUAGUUUGUGAAUAGAUCGAUGGGCGCCGACUUCAACAAUGACUUCCAUCAUUGUUCCUUCCCUUGGGAAGAAGGAAGCGAUUUUUCCGGAUGUUGUUUGUGCGCUUCACAACAUGCCCUCCUGCAAGAUCCUCGGGUCAACCGGGAGAGGAAACAAAAACCUGUCCCAAAGGGUACUGUACCACACACGGGAGACUCGGCUUCAUGCUCAUGCGAUGGUGUCGGUGAGACAAUGGCGAGUUGACUGGUAUUGCGGAGAUGGAUGACCGUUUAGCAGAUUCGGUUGAGCUUACUGUGUCUCGGCCAAGUUGGGCUUGGCUUUGUGAAGGUUGUGUGGGCUUUUGUGGGUUCGAGGGAUCUGUUCAUCGGUUGUCGUCUGUUCCUAGACAUUCCUCAACUCCUGUUUGCGCCUGCAUUUGAUACUCGCCCUCUUGUUUCUCGAAUGAUCGCAAUUGUUCUGGUCGGAGAAACGUGCGAUUUCUAUCGUUCGAACGCUUUGACGUAUCAGCCCAUUUCUAGUUGGCAUGGGGGAGAUGUCCUUAGUCGGUUCUAACGUGUAUGCGUCAUGCAGUGGGUGUUGUGGGACCUCUCCCGAGUGAGGAUCAAAGCUUUGGCUUGUCUGCGAUGCUUGUCUGCUGCUACGCGUUCCCGGUUAAGGCUCGUCCCUAGUGUCUGAUUGGAGUGAACUGUUAAGCGACGAAUGUGAAAUCGGGCGAUCUCUGUACCGCUGAGGAGCCGUUGUAUUGUCACCGGGACUUGGGCGUUGCGUCAAACAAUGGUUCUUUACACGGGAGCAGAAUGUUCUGGCCAGGCGACAGCCGGUGGACUGCCGUUUCUACCGCCUUGGUGGUGGAAACGGCCACAUUUUUUCUU
rnacentral:telomerase_RNA from 1 species